rnacentral:rRNA from 1 species
UAAGGAAUAUUGGACAAUGGAGGCAACUCUGAUCCAGCCAUGCCGCGUGAAGGAAUAAGGCCCUAUGGGUUGUAAACUUCUUUUAGACGGGACAAAACCCCUUUACGUGUAAAGGGUUGAUGGUACUGUCAGAAUAAGCAUCGGCUACUUCGUGCCAGCAGCCGCGGUAAUACGAAGGAUGCAAGCGUUAUCCGGAAUUAUUGGGUUUAAAGGGUGCGUAGGCGGACUAAUAAGUCAGUGGUGAAAGCCUGCAGCUUAACUGCAGAAUUGCCAUUGAUACUGUUAGUCUUGAGUACAGUUGAGGUAGGCGGAAUGUGUCAUGUAGCGGUGAAAUGCUUAGAUAUGACACAGAACACCGAUUUCGAAGGCAGCUUGCUAAGCUGUAACUGACGCGGAGGCACGAAAGCGUGGGGAGCAAACA